GAUUUCAAUUGAAAAAGUCAUCAACAACAAAAUUAUAUAACUCAUCAAUACCUAUAACUUUUAUUUUUGUCAUUUCUUCAUCCGAUAAAAUGUUAGUAACAUUAUUCACAAAUUUUACAUAUAUGUGUUAUAGUUUAUAGAUACGUCAAUUUUGUGAACAAUGUUACUAUCACUUUAUCGGAUAAAGAAAUGAUCAAAAUAAAAGUUUUAGAUCUUGAUGAGUUAUUCAACUUUGUUAUUGAUAACUUUUUCAGUUGAAAUC
rnacentral:pre_miRNA from 1 species